rnacentral:misc_RNA from 1 species
AACCUUAUGGACCUGCGGGCGUAUACCUGCGGAGGGAUCAUUAACGAGUUAGGGUCUUCUAGGCCCGAUCUCCCAACCCCAUGUUUACUGAACUCAUGUUGCUUCGGCGGGCCCGUCUCACGACCGCCGGGGGACCGUAAGACGUCCUCUGGCCCGCGCCCGCCGGUGGCCAAACCGAUAAAUUCUGAUAAAACCGUGUUAACUGUCUGAGUUCCAUUCUUAAUUAAAGCAAAAAACUUU